rnacentral:pre_miRNA from 1 species
UGUUAGUAUAACUCUUAGUAACAGUGAAUUUUAAAAUUGUGACUAGAGUUUAUACUACCGAU